rnacentral:rRNA from 1 species
GUUGAACGCUGGCGGCAUGCCUAACACAUGCAAGUCGAGCGGAUGAAGGGUGCUUGCUCCUGGUUUCAGCGUCGCACGGGUGAGUAAUGCCUAUGAGUCUCCCUGGUUUUGCUUUAUAACGUCCGGAGACGGGCGCUGAUACUGCAUGCGUCCUGAGCGUGAAGCUGGGUGAUCUUCGGACCGCACGCUAUCAUGUGAGCCUAGGUCGGGUUAGCUAGUUGGUGGGGUAAAGGACUGCCAAGGCGACGAUCCGUAACUGGUCUGAGAGGAUGAGCAGUCACACUGGAAGGGAGACAAGGCACAGAGUCCUACGGGAGGCAGCAGUGGGGAAUAUUGGACAAGGGGCGAAAGACUGAUCCAGCCAUGCCGAGUGUGUGAAGAAGGUCGUCGGAUUGGAAAGCACUUUAAGUGGGGAGGAAGGGCAGUAAGUUAAUACCUAGCUGUUAUGACGUUAACAACAGAAUAAGCAACGGCUAAAUUCGUG